ensembl:lncRNA
CUCAGGACCAUCAUAACAGACUUGAGAUGCAGGCAGGACCUCUGUUUAGAUCUUAGAUUGUUUCUGGUGCUCACUUUCACCCAGGGCUGAGUCAAGGCAAAAGCCCACCUGAGGUGCUGUCUGGAAGGUUCACAAAGCCAUCAGUCAAUGCUAAAAUGGUGUAUGUGAUAUGCCCUUCUGCAGGUCAUAAAUAUUCAGGGAAACAGAAUGGAGACAAAAGGGAUGAAAAUAAAAAAGAAAGAAAAAUUCAGAGAUAUACCAAAAACUGGAUGCAUUUGUCACAUCAGGUGCACUAUUUACUAUUACUACCAUGAACUUGAGAGAUGAUACUGUACUUGUGGCUGCAAAAGUGAAUGAAGAUAAUGAAACACAGUCAAGGUUGUAGGAAUAGCCCAAUCAAUGUGCACUUCAUGCCCUCCACCAAACCCAGCCUUGCACUCCAUUUCACAAGAAAUUCUCUUCCCCCAUACUGAAUAAGAAACAGCUUUUCAAACUGUUGGAAUCAAACCAGGCAUUUAAUUAAGUUUCUCUGUAUUUGUUCAGUUAGUGAGAAAACAAGCUGUUUCGUGCAGGCUAUUUUUGAGAAGGAACUACAUAAGGGCGAGACUGCAAAUUAGAGAUGGUUGUUAGAAUCACUAUUAUAGGGAUCAUUCUACUCUUCUGUGUGCUGCCUGUUUUCUUCCACGGGCUUCUUGUUCUGUACAACUGACUUUAAUGGCUACAAUUGCAUUUCUGAGCCUGUGAAAUGACCCAAACAACUGCAGUUUAAUGUUAGUGAAUGGAAAGUGAAGAAAUAACUUCUUGUAUUAGCACAGAGAUCUACUCAAAGAAAUAUCCUGACCUGUAUGGAGUUGCAAUGGAAAGGAUUUUAUGUAGGAAUUUUAGAAUUAUUCAGUUGAUUGGAUCCAUUCCUGGAAGAGCACAAAAACGUGACAGAAAUGUUGCUACAAGGACUGCUUCAUACUUUUUGAAAACAUACUGGGUGAAUCUCACCUCCUGAACCAGCAAUUUGUCAGCAAUUACUUCUGAGCCAUGGAAAGUGAAACAUCCAUUUAGAGUUGUCAACUGCACAGAAAUCUUCCAUGUUGAGCAGUUUUUCACGCAGCAAUAUUUAAAGGAUUAUUUCCUAAGGAGUAGUUGCUGUAAAUUUAUCCCUGUUCACUGGAGGUGGUACAUGUCUUCGAGUCCAAAAGUAAAUUUCUUGUAAGAGAAUGCUAUUUCUUUGUCAGAUUCCUGUGUCUGGUUUUAUGACAAUGGGGUAUAUAAGUUGGAACAUAGCAUAUCAAUUCACAGGCAUGGCCAAAAAAAACCCCAAAACGGGAUGAGUUUGCUGAAAAGCUACAUGAGCUUGGCUUGCAGCUGAAGGGCAGGGAAGAAAGGAAUGGGAGCAGCCACUGUCACUCCUGGAAAGCAGCACUCCUUUCAGCAGCACAGCAUGGCUGGCACACACCCUCUCCUGCCGUGGCAGCUCGUUUGGCUUGCUAGAACUCGGGCAUAGCAAAAUAGACAAAGGGACUGUCUUUUUCUGCUGCCCCAGCAAUCUGCUGCCCUAAUUACGUGCCUACAACUUGUGCUGGUUCAUAACCAUGUGAUGAAGGCUUUUCCUCAGGGCUUUUAAUUGAUUGAAGCAGCUCUUGAUUCUCAUGACAAGAGAGGCAAAGUAUAAAGCUCUAAACCUCAGGAAGGGAAAUAAAUAAAUGAGAAAAUAUUUUGCUUCA